AUCUGUACUUUACUGGAGUAGUUUUAUUUUGAGUAACUUUAAAAAUAAACUUUUAAAUCGGAUCGCGAAUCGCACCAAACGAUUCGUUUACGAAUUAGAAUGAUCCGAUUGCAGCUGUUCUGGAGUCGACCACUCACUGAUUCAAAUGAACCGUUUAGUGCGAGUCUACAGAAGAACCGGGAGAUCUUGUGAGCGCGUGUGCAUCUUGAUGUUGCUAAAAUGACAUUUGCUGUACAUUUGGAAUUCCAAAGCCUGUUCAGACAAAUUACGAGCUAAGUCAGUCCCCAACAAAGGCAGUUAGCCUUGUAGAAGUCGGUGAAUUAACUGAUGAAUACCCCUUGGCUGACUAUUUGAUUGGACAUGUGCAGAUGGUUACGUUAAAGAGAUUUGUCUGCUGCAAAAGUAAGGAAUAAAUAAGUAAAAAUAGCAGGUUAGCACACUAUAAUUUUUUUUUUGUUUGCAUGUAUUCACACUCUAUUUUUUGUAAUUGAUGUUAUUAGCAUUACAUUUCACAUAAUAAAAUCAAGCUAUUAUCUUUAUUAUAUUUUUCUAGACUACAACAUAUUUGCCAUACACAUACAUUUUUAGGAACUUUUAGUGAAUGAGACCCAUUGUGCUCUUUUGUAUAAUUGUGACUUGAGUAAUGUCUUAAACUUCAUUGUUCGGGAGGCAGACACACUCUUGCAGUUUAAAUCUAGAUUAAAGACCCAUCUCUUUAACCUGGCAUACACAUAACAUACUAAUAUGCUUUUAAUAUCCAAAUCCGUUAAAGGAUUUUUAGGCUGCAUUAAUAAGGUAAACCGGAACCGGAAACACUUCACAUAACACCGUACUUUCUACAUCAUUAGAAGAAUGGCAUCUACGCUAAUAUUUGUCUGUUUCUCUCUUAUUCCGAGGUCACUGUAUCCACCAGAUCCAGUCUGUGUCCAGAUCAGAGGGUCACUGCAGUCACCCGGAUCCAGUACGUAUCCAGACCAGAUGGUGGAUCAGCACCUAGAAAGGACCUCUACUGCCCUGAAAGACAGCGGAGACCAGGACAACUAGAGCCCAGAUACAGAUCCCCUGUAAAGACCUUGUCUCAGAGGACCACCAGGACAAGACCACAGGAAACAGAUGAUUCUUCUGCACAAUCUGACUUUGCUGCAGCCUGGAAUUGAACUACUGGUUUCGUCUGGUCAGAGGAGAACUGGCCCCCCAACUGAGCCUGGUUUCUCCCAAGGAUGACAUUGAUGCAGCUUGUGAACUUGCCAUCAGAGGACUGUCUAUCUAUCUUAAUGAGGACUCUAAAGAUCUCAUUCAGGAGUAUGCGGACAUGGAAGAAGAUCUUUUACAGUGUGCGAUUGAGAAGACUACCAUGGGCAUCUUCCUGAUAAAGCACACUGCAGACAAUGAAGCCCAUGAUGUAGGCAUUGUGUUAGAGGGUGUAGCAGUGUUUCAGGACCUUGACAGUGUGGAUUUUGGCAACUUCAAUGUUUUUGGUCUAAUUUAUGCUCUUAACCUGCAGUACCCCACAAAGUUGCGUUUUACAUAUGAAAUUUAGCAAAAACUCAUCAUGGACUUGGAUGCAGGUGAACUCUCUAUCAAGGCCCAAUUUCAAAUCUGAACUCCACCAGUGAGAUGGACUGAUUUUUGAAUGACUACUGAGACUACAAACAAUCAACCUCGGAAAAUUUCAGCAGCCUUCAUGCAAGACCACCGCAGAGGGUAAACCGUGAUCUUGUUGUUUAGACUGUUCCCCUUUGCCUGCUCUCGUUUCUUUAUCUUUUUUUUUUGUCUGAAUUUGGCCCUUCUUUGGACUGGUUCAGAAGUUGAUUGAUUAGAGAGCUGAAUCUAUGAAACAUGGUUGAACUAGCAUAAAUAAGAUACAUUGUUUAUAGUUUAGGUAAGGGUCAGAUACUGUAUUUUCACAUUGUUUUGUAAUGUCUAUAUAUAAUUAUCUUUGAAACGAAAGCGUUUUUCUUGAAAUAACAGUUCCAGGUAGGGCUGCACGAUAUUGGGAAAAAAUGACAUUGCGAUAUUUUAUUUUUCUGCGAUAUAUAUUGCGAUAUGAAAUCUAAUCUAUUUUUUUCUUACAAACAAAAAUUGGGUGAGCACACUUACAUUCUCAUUUUAAAUGAUGUAAACAUCAACACCAUCGUGUCAAUUGAUUAAUAAUUGCGAGGGAGAGAGAGCAAGACAUCGCUCGUGUUGUUUGAAGCUGGUGAGCUUGCGGCCGGGGCUCGCUCUCUCUCUCUCUCUCCCUCUCCCUCUCCCUCUCUCUUCUCUCUUUCUCUCUCUCUCUCUGCCCUGUUAAACUGACAGGACUUAAAAACACAUAUAAAAGAUAAACUUUCACUCUAUGAUGGUUAAGCUGUACAAUUAAUCCGCGAAUCACAUUCGUCAAGAGCUGGAGAGCAGCUGGCCCGUACAGUUAAUGAAUAACAAAUCAACUACGACAGCCUACAUCGCACAUCCUGCGAUGUGACUAUCGUGCAGCCCUAGUUCCAGGUACUGGUGUUCUUGGGUACAGUUUUAAGGUUCGUGAGAGAAAUGAAAUAAAAUAGUGUUACAAUGUUGUAUUAGUUUUUAAACGCACAGUUACAUGCAGUAUAAUGUUACUUAUGUUUAUGAUAUUGUUUAAAAAAAAAAGAAAUCUUGUAAAACUUAUGAAGGUUUAAAUAUAUUGUUGAUCUACAUGUUAUGCAUACAAAAUGAACUGUGUUUGUUUUUAUACUAGUUUAAUUACAACUGAUAUGUAUUUUUAUUAAAUUUAAUAAUCAGAGAAGUUAUUUAUGCUAUGCUUUUGAAAGCACAAUGUUAUUUAGACAUGCCAUUUAAAUUACACAUUGUUCAAAUUGUUAAAUAAAGGAUUUACAAAAGUUUUGUGUUACGUGAAAUGAAACAUGCGACAACAAACCAUUGAAAUGUAUUAAAAUUUAAUUUUAGUGAAGUUAUCAAAAUUAUGUUAAGAUAACUUGAUUUAAUUGCACAGAAUUAACAUGAUUGAAGCAGAUAUCUGAAAUAAAAAAAUAAUGUUAAACUAGCAUUACUGAAUCAUGUUAGUAUAACUUGAAAAGACUAUGUACACAUUACUUUUUGAAAUUGCAUAGGAUUAACACAACCAUAUUAUAAUGAAACCACAUAAAUGCAUUGGAUACUUUGAACUCAAACUGAAUGUGUGGAACCAAUGUCCAUAAUUCGAUUGAGUAAAUCCAACAAAUCUUUUUUUUC